GUCUAUGGCUAUGCCACCCUGAAUAUGCCUGAUCUCGUCCGAUCUCAGAAGCUAAGCAGGGUCAGGCCUGGUUAAUAUUUGUAUGGAAACUACCUAAGAAUCCCUGGUGCUGUAGGUG
rnacentral:rRNA from 1 species